rnacentral:rRNA from 1 species
AUUGAACGCUGGCGGCAUGCCUUACGCAUGCAAGUCGAACGGUAACAGGUCUUCGGAUGCUGACGAGUGGCGAACGGGUGAGUAAUACAUCGGAACGUGCCUAGUAGUGGGGGAUAACUACUCGAAAGAGUGGCUAAUACCGCAUGAGAUCUACGGAUGAAAGCAGGGGAUCGCAAGACCUUGUGCUACUAUAGCGGCCGAUGGCAGAUUAGGUAGUUGGUGGGAUAAAAGCUUACCAAGCCGCCGAUCUGUAGCUGGUCUGAGAGGACGAUCAGCAACACUGGGACUGAGAGACGGCCCAGACUACUACGGGAGGCAACAGUGGGGAAUUUUGGACAAUGGGCGAAAGCCUGAUCCAGCAAUGCCGCGUGAAGGAUGAAGGCCUUCGGGUUGUAAACUGCUUUUGUACGGAACGAAAAGCCCCGGGUUAAUACCCUGGGGUCAUGACGGUACCGUAAGAAUAAGCACCGGCUAACUACGUGCCAGCAGCCGCCGUAA